ACGGACCCGCACAAGCGUGGAUCAUGUUGUUUAAUUCGAUGAUACGCGAAGAACCUUACCUAGGUCUUGACAUCCCCUGCAAAGCUAUGGAGACAUAGUGGAGGUUAUCAGGGAGACAGGUGGUGCAUGGUUGUCGUCAGCUCGUGUCGUGAGAUGUUGGGUUAAGUCCCGCAACGAGCGCAACCCUUAUUGCUAGUUACCAUCAUUGAGUUGGGGACUCUAGCGAGACUGCCAGUGAUAAACUGGAGGAAGGUGGGGAUGACGUCAAAUCAUCAUGCCCCUUAUGACCUGGGCUACAAACGUGAUACAAUGGCUGAAACAAAGGGCAGCGAAGCAGUGAUGUGGAGCGAAACCCAAAAAAGCAGUCUCAGUUCGGAUUGAAGUCUGCAACUCGACUUCAUGAAGUCGGAAUCGCUAGUAAUCGCGGAUCAGAACGCCGCGGUGAAUACGUUCUCGGGGUUU
rnacentral:rRNA from 1 species